AACGAACGCUGGCGGCAGGCCUAACACAUGCAAGUCGAACGCCCCGCAAGGGGGAGUGGCAGACGGGUGAGUAACACGUGGGAACGUACCCUUCGGUUCGGGAUAACUCAGGGAAACUUGAGCUAAUACCGGAUACGUCCGAGAGGAGAAAGAUUUAUCGCCGAGGGAUCGGCCCGCGUCUGAUUAGCUUGUUGGUGAGGUAACGGCUCACCAAGGCGACGAUCAGUAGCUGGUCUGAGAGGAUGAUCAGCCACAUUGGGACUGAGACACGGCCCAAACUCCUACGGGAGGCAGCAGUGGGGAAUAUUGGACAAUGGGCGCAAGCCUGAUCCAGCCAUGCCGCGUGAGUGAUGAAGGCCCUAGGGUUGUAAAGCUCUUUUACCCGGGAAGAUAAUGACUGUACCGGGAGAAUAAGCCCCGGCUAACUUCGUGCCA
rnacentral:rRNA from 1 species